CAAAGGAAUUGACGGGGACCCGCACAAGCGGUGGAGCAUGUGGUUUAAUUCGAAGCAACGCGAAGAACCUUACCAAAUCUUGACAUCCUUUGACAACUCUAGAGAUAGAGCCUUCCCCUUCGGGGGACAAAGUGACAGGUGGUGCAUGGUUGUCGUCAGCUCGUGUCGUGAGAUGUUGGGUUAAGUCCCGCAACGAGCGCAACCCUUAAGCUUAGUUGCCAUCAUUAAGUUGGGCACUCUAAGUUGACUGCCGGUGACAAACCGGAGGAAGGUGGGGAUGACGUCAAAUCAUCAUGCCCCUUAUGAUUUGGGCUACACACGUGCUACAAUGGACAAUACAAAGGGCAGCGAAACCGCGAGGUCAAGCAAAUCCCAUAAAGUUGUUCUCAGUUCGGAUUGUAGUCUGCAACUCGACUACAUGAAGCUGGAAUCGCUAGUAAUCGUAGAUCAGCAUGCUACGGUGAAUACGUUCCCGGGUCUUGUACACACCGCCCGUCACACCACGAGAGUUUGUAACACCCGAAGCCGGUGGAGUAACCAUUUGGAGCUAGCCGUCGAAGGUGGGACAAAUGAUUGGGGUGAAGUCGUAACAAGGUAGCCGUAUCGGAAGGUGCGGCUGGAUCACCUCCUUU
rnacentral:rRNA from 1 species